AAGAUACGCCGGAUGGUCGCUCCGACGUAAAGUCGGAGAGGAAAGUCCGAACACCAUCAAAAGGGCAGUGGCUAACGGCCACCCUUUAAGAAAGUAAUUUCUUGGAGAGGGAUAGUGCCACAGAGACUAUACUAUCCCGCAUUUUGCGGGAAAAAGGUGAAAAGUGUUCCGUAGAACGGGACUCGCUCCGCUGGCAACAGCGGAAUGCGGAAAACCCUGCCUGGUGCAAGGCCGUGUCCCGCCAACCAUUGAAAUUUUCAAAGGAAGGCAGGAAGUGCCGCUUCAGACUAUUCCGCAAGGAAUGGCCGAGAUAAAUGACCGUACAUCCGCCUUAGGCGGAGGACAGAAUUCGGCUUACAGGCGCAUCAAAAAU
rnacentral:RNase_P_RNA from 1 species